UCACCUCUCAAGCCUGGCUUGGUGUUGGACCUCUGAGGCCCGGGCUCUGCCCCCGGCCGGUCCCAAAAGUAAUGACGGCGUCGCGUGGACUCUCGGUGCAACGAGCUUUGUUACAAGGCACGCAGCGAGUUGAAAAGCCCCGCGAUACGGUCCCAAACCUUUUAUCUUCUCAA
rnacentral:misc_RNA from 1 species